rnacentral:rRNA from 1 species
GAUGAACGCUAGCUACAGGCUUAACACAUGCAAGUCGAGGGGAAACGGCAUUGAGUGCUUGCACUCUUUGGACGUCGACCGGCGCACGGGUGAGUAACGCGUAUCCAACCUUCCCAUUACUGUGGGAUAACCUGCCGAAAGGCAGACUAAUACCGCAUAGUCUUCGAUGACGGCAUCAGAUUUGAAGUAAAGAUUUAUCGGUAAUGGAUGGGGAUGCGUCUGAUUAGCUUGUUGGUGGGGUAACGGCCCACCAAGGCUACGAUCAGUAGGGGUUCUGGGAGGAGGGUCCCCCACAUUGGAACUGAGGCACGGUCCAAACUCCUACGGGAGGCAGGAGUGAGGAAUAUUGGUCAAUGGACGGAAGUCUGAACCAGCCAAGUAGCGUGCAGAAGGACGGCGCUAGGGGUUGUAAACUGCUUUUGUAUGGGGAUAAAGUUAGGGACGUGUCCCUAUUUGCAGGUACCAUACGAAUAAGGACCGGCUAAUUCCGUG